UAAAAAAAUUAUUACUUAUCUGAAAUUCAAGUUUAACUGGGCACCCUGUGUUUUUAUUUUUUGUGUUAAACAGAAUUCUCAGAUGCUCCCCCAGUGACCCUCACCUUUGUAUAAUCUCCUCCUCUGGAGUGUGAGUGAAACCUGUGACUAUUUGGGACAUCCCUCCUGUGCUUAGAUUACAUUACAUAGCCAAAGGGUCUUUUGUAAAUGUAAUUAAGGUAAUUAAUCAGUUGAUUUUGAGUUAAUCGAAAAGGAGAUUAUCUGGCUGGACUGCACCUAACCACAGGAGCCCUUUAAGUCUGGCUCUAAAGGCCAGAGACAGAAGUCCAAGAUUCGAAGCAGUAGAGAAUUCUUCUGUUGGCCUUGAAGGAGAAAACAGCUAUGUUGCAGAGAAGGCCACACGAAUAGCCGGGAACAGCGGUCAGCCUCUAGGAGUUCAUAACAGCCCGGGUUAACAGCCAGCAAGCAAACAGAGACCUCAGUCCUAUCCCAUAAUGAACUGGAUUCUGGCAACAUCCUGAAGGAGCUUGGAGAAGGACCCCGAGCCUCAGGAGAGAUGGCGGCCUGGCUGACCUUGAUUUCAGCUGUGCGAGAGACCCUGAGCAGAAAACCCAUCCAUACCACGCCAGACUCCUGACCCCUGGAAACUAUUCUUCUGGCCAAGAAAAGAGGCCACUAGCAGCUCAGUGUCGGGUUUCCAGCGGACAGAAAGGCAAGCUUUGCUGCUCUGGAACGUGAAAGCCAACUUCUGACUCUCAGGCCUCCUGACCCAACCCAACAUCAGAGCGAAAGGCAGACUUCACAGGCUGGCACCCUCCCUCUCCCAAAUCCCCAAGUUUUCCCAAGCCUGUGAAUCAUGAAUCAAGAAGCAUUUCCUUGGAGACUGAGAGUUCGGAUCAACAGUGAAUCCUAGAAGAAAGAAGGUCGUUUUCCCUCAAACUCCCGUUUCUUUGGAAAGUUAGAAGUUGGAUCUUCUGCCUAA